GGGGACGGAACGGCCUGUCCCCCGGGCGGAGGAAGGUUACGGCAGCGUGACUGCAAAGAAGACCUACCGGAAAGAUAGCAGGCAAGUCACACGUACGAGUUUCCUAUCAGCUGACAACAGCUCUGGUACUUGAAGAACGUGUUCACGUCCCAGUGAGCAAAAGAUGCUGACAGAACAGGGAAAAUUUGGAGACAUCUUGGGUACAAUUGUAUGAAGAGAAUGCAGCAUGGGUAAAUCCAAAUUACUGCUUGACACCCAGCUUCUCCAGUACAGUUCUGAUUCCACAUCCUUGGGUUCUAGAAUAGAUUACCUCACAAUCUAGCUGAAGAUUAGCAAAUGGGUCACAGCCACCCAUGUUUUAGUUACUUUUUUCCAUAUUUAUUUUGCCUUAGGAUAGUUGAUAAAAAGAGAAAUUAUUAAGUCUUGUAAAGUUAACCUUUGCAAACUGUUGCAUUUUUUAAUCAACAUCAAAUAAGGGAGCUAACAAGAGAGAUCUUCAGACUGCAGAUAUUUAUUUUUUUAAUCUGAGACCAAAAGAGAUGCGUACAUCCACGUAACAUUUUGAAGACUGUGAAACACCCAAAUGACAGUGCUGAGUAUGCCCUUGUGUGACUGAACACACAUCAAACCUUACGCAUUGUGAAUGCAUUCUAAAUUCACUUGGGCAGGUAUAUAGCUGUAAAAGCCUGAAUCCCUGCUUCCAUUUGAUUGCAGUAUCACAGGAUUCUGGCUAAAAGACAGGCAGAGUGUAAAGCCAAUAUUAAAAAUGUUGCCUGCCCACCAUCUUAUGCAGCUCCAUUCUGUAACAGAAAGUCAGCAUUCAGUAGCAUGUCAUGACUGCAGCACACUAAAUUUUAAGACUUGCAACCAAAGUUUUUAUUUUCUGCUCAAAAACUUGUCUCCUUUUAUUUGCUUAUGAUUUCAUGUUUCACAGAUGCUGCUUCUAAAAAAGCUCAUAACCAGAAAAUCCUGUGCAAACAGCAGUUUUAUCACAUCUUAAAACAACUUCAUAAUCUCUUCAGUUUGCUAGUUCUGUUCUCUAUAUGAAGCAGUUCUGGGAGAUCACAGAAUCAUUGAAUGGCUUACUUUGGAGGGGACCUUAAAAACCAUCUAGUUUCAACUCCCCUGCCACAGGCAGACUUGACAGCCACCAGAUCAGGCUGCCCAGGAUCCCAUUCAACCUGGCCUUGAAUAUGCCUCCAGAGAUGGAGCAUCCACAACUCCUUUGCACAAAUUGUUCCAGCACCUCACCACCCUCUCAGUUAAAAAUGUACUCCUAAUAUCUAACCCUCUUUUAGUUAAAAGCCAGUCCCCCUUGUCCUAUCACUAUGAGACAGUAUUAAAAGUCGGUCUCCCUCCUGCUUGCAAGCUCCCUUCAAGUACUAGAAGGCUGCAAUGAGAUCUCCACAAAACCUUUUCUUCUCCAAACUAAAUAUGCCCAAUUCCCUCUAUCCUUCUCCACAGGAGAGCCCUUUGAUGAUCUCUGAGAGUCCUCUGGACUUGCUCCAACAGAUCUGCAUCCCAACCUGGCACAAAGGUACACUUCCACAUCUGUAUAACUACAGCUGAACAGUGAAGUUGGAUUCUUCAAAAUUAGGGCUGAGUUUUCUGCUUUACUUUAAGAACCUAUGCAAAAAACAUACAAAAAUCUACAGGAAAUUUUCACUGAAUUCUUUGAGAGAAUUAACAUGCAAGCUCUGAUGUUUGUGGGUGACAUUCCUGGAAGAAUGGCAGGCUCAAUACCAAGUAUUCAUUUUCCCAAGAAUGGCCAUUUGGCAGAUCUUCACCUCCCUUCAUUCUACAUGCAUGAGAUUAUAAAUAAAUAAGCUGACAACAUUUGCAAACUACGCAGACAAUUAACUCUUUAGAAGCAUACAUCAGUGAAAUCAAGAAAGUUCUCCUUAUAGUCUUCUCCAUGUUGUCAAGGCAGUAAGUCCUACAGUGUACUUUUUCUGUUCAGUGAAUAUUUUGUGAAGAAUUACUGGUUUAAGGAGUUGCAUUUCUUCGAAGUUGAUACACAUUCCACUUUCCUUUUCAGUACUGAUUUAAAUAAGCAAGUCUUCACUUUCAGAGCAACUUUUAGGCAAUAUUGAAACAAAUACAAGUUUCCUCAGUGAAAUAAACAUCUCUUCAAAACACA